CGUAACAAGGUCUCCGUUGGUGAACCAGCGGAGGGAUCAUUACUGAGUUUACGCUCUACAACCCUUUGUGAACAUACCUAUAACUGUUGCUUCGGCGGGUAGGGUCUCCGUGACCCUCCCGGCCUCCCGCCCCCGGGCGGGUCGGCGCCCGCCGGAGGAUAACCAAACUCUGAUUUAACGACGUUUCUUCUGAGUGGUACAAGCAAAUAAUCAAAACUUUUAACAACGGAUCUCUUGGUUCUGGCAUCGAUGAAGAACGCAGCGAAAUGCGAUAAGUAAUGUGAAUUGCAGAAUUCAGUGAAUCAUCGAAUCUUUGAACGCACAUUGCGCCCGCCAGCAUUCUGGCGGGCAUGCCUGUUCGAGCGUCAUUUCAACCCUCAAGCUCUGCUUGGUGUUGGGGCCCUACAGCUGAUGUAGGCCCUCAAAGGUAGUGGCGGACCCUCCCGGAGCCUCCUUUGCGUAGUAACUUUACGUCUCGCACUGGGAUCCGGAGGGACUCUUGCCGUAAAACCCCCAAUUUUCCAAAGGUGACCUCGA
rnacentral:rRNA from 1 species